UAGACGAUUCAUUCCUUAAAA
rnacentral:piRNA from 1 species